CCUUCGGAGCACCACAUCCAACGAGAGUAGCUUUGGCGAAAUCGGGUGCGAUGAACAAGGAA
rfam:Geobacillus sp. B4113_201601 NODE_74, whole genome shotgun sequence.